rnacentral:rRNA from 1 species
AUUGAACGCUGGCGGCAUGCUUUACACAUGCAAGUCGAACGGUAACAGGCCGCAAGGUGCUGACGAGUGGCGAACGGGUGAGUAAUGCAUCGGAACGUGCCCAGUCUUGGGGGAUAACUACUCGCAAGAGUAGCUAAUACCGCAUACGAUCUAUGGAUGAAAGCGGGGGACCGUACGGCCUCGCGCGAUUGGAGCGGCCGAUGUCAGAUUAGGUAGUUGGUGGGGUACAGGCUCACCAAGCCAACGAUCUGUAGCUGGUCUGAGAGGACGACCAGCCACACUAGGACUGAGACACGGCCCAGACUCCUACGGGAGGCAGCAGUGGGGAAUUUUGGACAAUGGGCGCAAGCCUGAUCCAGCAAUGCCGCGUGCAGGAAGAAGGCCUUCGGGUUGUAAACUGCUUUUGUACGGAACGAAACGGCUCUGGUUAAUACCCGGGGCUAAUGACGGUACCGUAAGAAUAAGCACCGGCUAACUACGUG